rnacentral:misc_RNA from 1 species
AUGAAAUGUAGGGGCUGCAAAU